CGUGAACCAAAUUUUCCCCAUUCUGCAAGUUCUAAAACAAAAAAACACCAAGCACACAAGUCAUCCCAACGGUGUCCACAACCAUUCACGUCAGAGAAGGUAGUUUUCUUUAAUUCAGUACAAUUAUCUCAUUGCUAAAACAGUAAUCGACAGCAAAGAUGAACAAUAGUUACAUAUCUCUAAUUCUAAUCUCACGAAUACAGUUGUUUCUCAAUAAGCAAUAAAAAGGAAAACAAUCAUAAAAAUAGGAUCUUGAGCUGAUAAAGGACUGUUGCGCCGGAGACGUCUCAAGCAACGACGACGCCGGUCGAUUCCUGAAACAGAAAAUAAUUUGAGAUUUAUUAGUUUGUGAUGUUUAAACUGAAAUAGAAAUUAAAUCGGAAGUUUGCUGGAAUGGGACUUUGAACUGGAAAUAAAGGAGAGGGGGGAUUAGCAGUAGCAGCAGCAACAGUGGCAAACCAUCGCGGCGGAGGCAUGGCUGACGGUGGUGACCGUCGGCGCUGCCUGAGCCACGGCACCCGCGGUGGCUGCUGACAGUAGAAAGGGAGAGGGAGAUUGAGCGAGAGAGUGAGAUAGAGUGUGAGAUAGAGACAGAUAGCAGAAAGAGAAGGAGAAAGGCAGAACGAGCGAUGGAGGAAGAGAGGGGAGAGCAGGGCGGCGGCGACCACCGGCGCUGCACGCGCCGUCGCAGCUCGCAGCGGCCGCCGCAGCCUGACCAGAAGAGAGAGAGAGAGAGAUCGAGAAAGGGCAGAGAGGAGGGGGGGGGGGGUUUCGAGAGAGCAGAGAGAGAAGUGGAGAGAGAGAUAGGGCUUACCUGAGGACGACGGCGGUGGCGGCGGUGCGACGAGGACGACGGCGGUGGCGGCAGGCUUCGCCGGUGAGAUUAAUUCCAGAGGGGAAUAAGGGAGGUAGAAACCCUAGGAAUUAGAUUUUAUGAUUUGGGGAUUUAGUUAUAGGGAAAAGAGGAAAGAAGGAGGGGGAAGAGAAGAGGCCGGCCUCGCCGCGCCGGAGGCAGCGAGGGCCGGCGACACUAGCCGGAGUAUAGGGAAGAGAGAGAGACGGUAGGGAGAGAGAGGGGGAAAGCAUACCUGCGUAAGAACAAAAAAAUGAAGGGGAGAGAUAAUUAGUUUGAAAGAAAAUUCUGGAUUUUAAUAUAACU
rnacentral:lncRNA from 1 species